AGUGAACGCUGGCGGUAGGCCUAACACAUGCAAGUCGAACGGCAGCACAGUAAGAGCUUGCUCUUACGGGUGGCGAGUGGCGGACGGGUGAGGAAUACAUCGGAAUCUACUUUUUCGUGGGGGAUAACGUAGGGAAACUUACGCCAAUACCGCAUACGACCUACGGGUGAAAGCAGGGGAUCUUCGGACCUUGCGCGAUUGAAUGAGCCGAUGUCGGAUUAGCUAGUUGGCGGGGUAAAGGCCCACCAAGGCGACGAUCCGUAGCUGGUCUGAGAGGAUGAUCAGCCACACUGGAACUGAGACACGGUCCAGACUCCUCCGGGAGGCAGCAGUGGGGAAUAUUGGACAAUGGGCGCAAGCCUGAUCCAGCCAUACCGCGUGGGUGAAGAAGGCCUUCGGGUUGUAAAGCCCUUUUGUUGGGAAAGAAAAGCAGCAGGUUAAUACCCCGCUGUUCUGACGGUACCCAAAGAAUAAGCACCGGCUAACUUCGUG
rnacentral:rRNA from 1 species